UGUGUGGAACUCUUACCUGACAGUUGUUCCUUUGAAGACUGGAUGUCUGAACUGGCGUGUCUGCAGAGUUUGGCUGCCCCCACAUUGCAUGUCCAUUCUCCCGGCUGGUGCACUGUAUCUCACAGCCAGGGGAUGGCCUACCAGGAAUAACAAGGUGGCGAAAGUGGGGAGAAUCGGAAGACAUGGUCAGUGGCCCAAGAAGAGGUGGGUGGCAGUAACAGCAGACUGAGGAGAUGUAGAAAAGAGGAGGAUCUGUCCGAGGCAUAGAUGGCAAAGUCAUCCACAUAGAGGGAGGACCUGACACUAGGAGGGAUGGCAGAAAUGAUGUCAUCAAUGGCAAGGAGUAAGAGGGUUGUACUAAAGACCAAACCCUGCAGCACACCUUUAGAUUGACAGAAGGAAGGGGAACAAGAAGAAGCGACUGUGAUGCAAAAGAAGCAAUACUGGAGGAAGUUAUGGAGGAAAACCCCCAUGUUGCUAGAGACACCAACACUGGACAAGUGGUGAAGAAUGAUGUAAUGCCAAGUGAUAUCAUAAGCUUUAUCGAGGUGGAAGAUUUUUGUUGAGCAAAAGCGGAAAUAAUACAUGUGUGUAAGCAGGUGAGAGGCUCCACUAUACCAUGCUGAAAGCCAAACUGAAAGGAAGAGAGAAGGCUCUUAGAUUCAAUAUAUCACAUCAAAUGGAGGUUCAUCAUGCAGUCAAGGAGCUUGCAGACACAGCUAGUCAACACAAUGGGCAGAUAAUCCUGGAGGAGAGCAUCAGAUUUGUUAGGCUUGAGAAAAGGAAGGAUAAGUGCCUUGCACUAAUGGGAGGGAGGGGGAAUCCUCAGUUAACCAAACAUGGUUAAAAAGACUAAGCAAGAAGAUUAAAGAGACGGCAGGAAGGUGGAGGAGCAUCUAAUAGUGAACAUCAUCAAGGCCUACAGCAGUACUUCAAGGGGGAGAAGGGGGGCAUUGUAAUAUGAAGUAAAAGAAAGUGUUAAUGUAACAGGGGUGCAUUCACAGACUGCUUUAAGGGUAGUAAACCCUAGGGAAAAAUGAGAGCCACUGCUGACAUUACUGAAAUAUAAGCCCAAUUCAGUGGCCACCUGGAGUGGCUCAGCAAUAUCAGCCUGGGGAAGGUAAAGAAUAGGAGCACAGGAGGGUAGAUGUUUACCAGAUAGUUUAUGAAUACAGCGUGAGACUGAGACAUUGGGGGUAGGGGAAGUCAAGAUAGAGACAAGCACACCAGCCGCUGGACAGGGCCAAUUUACCAGUCUGGCAGAACCUAACCAAAGCAUGUUUAAGAUAAACAAGGGCUGGGAAUUAGCUGGAAGUGUCCCAUUUACAGCGGUAAUUACUCCAGACCACCUGUUUCAAGCAGGAAGCUGUAGUGCAAGUACAGUUCCACCAGGGAACACACUUGGAGGCCAAGGAACAGGAAAUCUGAGGAAUGGAAACAAAAGCAGCAGCGAGAACAGAUACACUAAAGUAAACCAGCAUGUCAGAGAAGUAAAAUCAGAAGAGGAGGUGCAGACCUCAGAGCUCUUAUAGGAGAUGAGUAAUAAUUUUCAUAAUCAGUCAUGGUAAGCCAGGUUGAGGAGGAAAAUGAGGUGGCCCAUCCCUUAGAGCCCUCAUGAGGGGUAAGGUCCACUGAGGCAGUUAAUACUGGGACAAACCUAGCCUCACAUCCCAUCCAUACAGUUCUCAUGCCUUGGGAAAAAGGGAGGGGAAGAAAGGAAGAGGAGAGGAGGAAAAGAUCCAGGCAAAUUUCAUAGGUCUAGGGGCUGUGGCCCAAGGCCCCUGGGUGCACUAAGGUGGUCUUAAGUCAUCAGGCCACAGCCUCUGUACCCAAAGCCCUACCCCAUCGGCAACGGAACCUGGUAUGGGAAGGACUCACAUCAUGAAGUUAAAGUGCUUCCACUUCAUCUUUAUCUAUGACUUCAAAGUAUUGGGACAGCUUAGGAAAACAAUUAAGAUGGCUUCAUGUAAUCUGUACAGAUAUGAGACACUUAUAAUCCAAGUGUACAGGGCUUUACCACAAAUGUAUUGGACACUUGAAUAUAAGAAAUGAUCAAUAAAAUGCAACACUCAA